ACGAGCCUCCGCCAACUCCUGAUCAUAGCUCAUCGCCAAAUUAUUCACCUCACGCGCCACCUCCAACUCCUGAACAUAGCUCAUCGCCAAAUUAUUCACCUCACGCGCCACCGCCAACUCCUAAUCAUAGCUCCCCGCCAAAUAAUUCACCUCACGCGCCACCCCCAACUCCUAAUCAUAGCUCACCGCCAAAUCAUUCACCUCACUGGCAAACGCCGCCACCACCACCACCUUCUCCAUAUCAUAGCUCACCGCCAACCCAUUCACCUAACUCACCCCCGCCACCGCCUUCUCCAUAUCAUACCUCACCGCCGGCGCCACCUGCCCAUUCACCAUCUCCUAGUAUAGAACCUCCUCCACACCAAUCACAACCAUCUCCUGGAGAGCAUUCACCUCCGCCCCCACCAGGGCCACAACUACCUCACCUGCCACCACCUUCCCCAUCUCCCCUGCCC
rnacentral:lncRNA from 1 species